rnacentral:misc_RNA from 1 species
UACGAGUGCCUCAAGCGUUAUCCGGAAUUAUUGGGCGUAAAGGGUGUGUAGGCGGUUUUAUUAGUCUUCUGUAAAAUUCUUCGGCUUAACCGGGGACUUGCAGAGGAAACGGUAGAACUUGAGGAUGCGAGAGGUUUGCGGAACUCAUAGUGUAGGGGUGAAAUCCGUUGAUAUUAUGGGGAACACCAAAAGCGAAGGCAGCAAACUGGCGCAUUCCUGACGCUGAAACACGAAAGCGUGGGUAGCGAAUGGG